UACGUAGGGGGCAAGCGUUGUCCGGAUUUACUGGGCGUAAAGAGCGCGCAGGCGGUCGUUCAAGUCGCGUGUGAAAGCCCCCGGCUCAACUGGGGAGGGUCACGCGAUACUGAUCGACUCGAAGGCAGGAGAGGGUAGUGGAAUUCCCGGUGUAGUGGUGAAAUGCGUAGAUAUGGGGAGGAAUACCGGUGGCGAAGGCGGCCUUCUGGACGAUGACUGACGCUGAGACGCGAAAGCGUGGGGAGCAAACAGG
rnacentral:rRNA from 1 species